GACGAACGCUGGCGGCGUGCUUAACACAUGCAAGUCGAACGGAAAGGCCCUGCUUUUGUGGGGUGCUCGAGUGGCGAACGGGUGAGUAACACGUGAGUAACCUGCCCUUGACUUUGGGAUAACUUCAGGAAACUGGGGCUAAUACCGGAUAGGAGCUCCUGCUGCAUGGUGGGGGUUGGAAAGUUUCGGCGGUUGGGGAUGGACUCGCGGCUUAUCAGCUUGUUGGUGGGGUAGUGGCUUACCAAGGCUUUGACGGGUAGCCGGCCUGAGAGGGUGACCGGCCACAUUGGGACUGCGAUACGGCCCAGACUCCUACGGGAGGCAGCAGUGGGGAAUAUUGCACAAUGGGCGGAAGCCUGAUGCAGCAACGCCGCGUGCGGGAUGACGGCCUUCGGGUUGUAAACCGCUUUCGCUUGUGACGAAGCGUGAGUGACGGUAAUGGGUAAAGAAGCACCGGCUAACUACGUG
rnacentral:rRNA from 1 species